rnacentral:rRNA from 1 species
GUGCCAGCCGCCGCGGUAAUACAGAGGUGGCAAGCGUUGUUCGGAAUUACUGGGCGUAAAGGGCGCGUAGGCGGUUCGUUAAGUCCUGUGUGAAAUCCCCCGGCUCAACUGGGGAAUGGCACAGGAAACUAGCGGGCUUGAGUUCGGGAGAGGGAAGCGGAAUUCCGGGUGUAGCGGUGAAAUGCGUAGAUAUCCGGAGGAACACCGGUGGCGAAGGCGGCUUCCUGGACCGACACUGACGCUGAGGCGCGAAAGCUAGGGGAGCAAACGGGAUUAGAAACCCUGGUAGUCC